rnacentral:lncRNA from 1 species
CUUUGGAGGGCGGGACUGAAUGGGGGUUAAUCAGAGGAUGCGAUUGCUGACCCUUUGCACUUUGGCAUGGCCCAUCCCCUAAUUUCUGACCAGAAGCCCUCCCUCUACCCUAAGCUCGUGCGUCACGACGCCGCCAGCUGAUCGGAGCCUGGAGCCGGUGUGUGCUGGGUGCCGAGAAGAGACAGCGCCGCCGGCCGUGGGGAGCGGACGCAGUGAUUUGCUCCCCCUCGUGCAGCAACCCCCACACCCAGCACCAGGCCCCCAGAACUCUCCUUCCAGCUGAACUCCCUGGGAACAAGUCAGUUGGGCUGAUCACUGAACUCACAUUUCUGGACCUGAGGAGCCUGUUCCUCUCACGCCCUCACCUGGCUGAGCCGCAGUAGUUCUUCAGUGGCAAGCUUUAUGUCCUGACCCAGCUAAAGCUGCCAGUUGAAGAACUGUUGCCCUCUGCCCCUGGCUUCGAGGAGGAGGAGGAGCUGCUUUCCCCAUCAUCUGGAAGGUGACAGAAAUGGGCUGGGAAGGUCCGAACAGCAGGGUGGAUGAUACGUUUUGGGCAAGUUGGAGAGCCUUUGCCCAGAUUGGCCCAGCAAGGAGCGGUUUUAGAUUAGAGACACUGGCUGGAUUGAGGAGUAGAAGGCUCAAACAACCCAAGCGGCUACAGGAAGCUGUGUCUGUUCGAUUUGGUGGGAGGAGAUGUGCAGGGAGCUGUAUCUUGUCCUCCGCUUGUGAAAAACUCAAGGAUGUGGAGAAGAGUAGACCGUGGAACCCUGCUCUUCUGCAGCCAAGCUGAGGGGCAGGAUGCGUGUGGGACAGUGGUAGAGAAGCAGGGGAUAGACUCAUAGGCUGCAACAAAGGUGACUCUGUCCCUGGACACUGCCUCCGUACUUUCUCCUUGCUUCACUGGCCACAGCAUCUCCCUCCAGCCCUCGCUAUGUGCCUCUGCCAUCUUCACCCAUCAUGGAGCAGAGGUGAGGAGAGGCAGCCUGGGAAUAUGGAGACCAGUGAAGGACCAGGCCUGGAGAGCACAGGGUCCUACCUGGGCAUCCAGCAGAGGAGCCCCUAAAGGCCAGGAGCACCCCAAGAGGAGGGAGGGCAGCCAGCCUCCAUUGACGGCGAGCCUCCAGCCCUCUCCUACUUUGAUCACCAUUUCUCUCCAGGCUUUCUGCCUCCGAGAUGUGGCACCAUAGUGCGGUGCCCUGUGGCUUCACCGCCCUACUUCCACCUCCGCCCAGCCUGUAAUGUUUAUAUAAGCAGCCUCAAGGACCAAGAACCAUCUGCGAAAGGACACACACAGGAAAUUCAUAAAAGAAAUCUGAAUGGAUAAAACCAUGAAAAAAAGUAUGCUUCAUUAGUAAUUAAAGAAAGGCAAAUAGAGCUGGAAGCAUUUUUCCCUUAGCAAACCAUAACAGAAAAAAAUAAGACCCAAUAUUGGCAAAGAGACUACUGAAAAAACAUUCCCAUACAUUGCGUGUGGGAGUAUACAUCGGUGCAGGCUUCCUGGAUGACAGUUGGGUGAUAUGUGUCAUGUGGCCUAAAAGCCUCCAUGUCAUUUGACCUACGAAUUCUAUCUUUGGGAAUUUAUCCUAAGAAAAUACUUAAGGAUUUAGUUAGUGAUAAGAUGUUCAUCCCAGCAUUGCAAUGGAGAAAAAUGGGAAGCAAUGGUUUGGUUGGGAAUUUAUUCCUUUUCUGCUGUAACGAAAGUUUGCAAUAGGGGAUUGCUUAAGUAAAUUAUUGUAUCUCCAUCCAGAUGGUGGAGUACCGCGCAGACAUUAAAAGUCAUGUAAAAGAACAUCUGACUGAAAGAAAAAUGCUCCUUGAAUAUUAAAAGGUUGUAAAAAUAGUGCAUGUUAUGUGAUUUCAAUUUUGUUUUUUAAAAUAUGGGUGUAUGCUUGUAUACGUAGAGCAGAUAAAAAAGACGGAAGGCAUACUAAAAAAUGUUGAGUGGUUAUCUUUGUAUGGUGGAACAAAGUCACUGUAAUUUUCAUCUUUGGUUUUUCUGUAAUUUCCAAAUUUUCCACAUUUUGUAUUUCAUAUAAUAUAA